GCACUUUUAAUGUACCAGGUACAAUGAGAGGUAUUUCACUCAGAUUAUUUGAUCUCCCAAAAAACCUUUUAAAAUAAGUACUAUUAUUAUCACCCCAAUUUCACAGAUGAGGAAAGUGAGGCACAAAGAAGUCAAGUUACUAGUUCAAAGUCUCAUAGCUACUCAAUGGCUUUGAAGCAACAUCUUCAUCUCUGGAAUCCACACGUUUAACCACCUUUCAAAUUAUGAAGGAUCUUGCAGACCAAACACAGGAGCUGAAAAAUAUCUUUUAGGCAAUGGGAAGCUACUGAUGAAUACUGAGCAUGGAUACUGAAUAACACCAUCUGAUAUAUACAAUAAAAUGAUGACUGUGGUGCUCUAAAAGAUAAAGAUUUCAGUUUUACUUGUUUGUGUGUUGCGGCAGGGGCAGCAGGAGGAAGGCAGAGCACAAAGGCCAGAAUCCCCAUAAUGAGGAGAAUGCAAUUCUUAGUAAAAGAGAAAGCACAGGCCUGACUUGGGCAGUAGCAUUGUGGGUAGAGCAAAAGGGGUAGAUGUACAGAUUUUUAGGAAGUGGAAAAAAAGGAAGACGUGGAUAUUGGAUAUAGAACAGGUAUAAGACAGGUGAGUGCGAAGCAUCAACUAUUAAGAAGGGAACAUCUCUUUCCCACUCCAGAUGUUUCCCUAAAUGUGAAAGGACAUCAAUUAAUAUAAACUUUCUGGCUUAUUUCUGUCCUCCUACUUCCACACCCUUCCAGGUAUAGCAUUUUAUAUGAUGGUGAAUUUGGCAGGAAAAAAAAAAAAGACAUUCCUCUUUCUUCUCUCUUGGUGGCAAGUUGACCUCAGAAAGCACAUUUUCUACUCUGCAUUUCAACACAGCAAGGAGCCUUACAAUUUUAGAAAAUAAACUCAGUGCCAUCCCCCUCAGUCCCCACAACUGAUGUAUGAACCAGGAAUAUUGAGAAAUGAGACAAAAUGCUGACAAUUGAGGAUACAUAAGUCCCAAGCCUUUGGUGCUCCCCAUGAUUUGAGGCCGUCUGGUGAGUAGAGAAGCUUAGAUGUUCCAUGUGGCAGGUUUUGACAGUUAGGCAGUUGGUUUUUAACUGCCUAGCAGGACAAGAGGCCAUAUGCAGUUUUCCCCUUGGCUGAUCUUUUCUUCUUGUGGCUUAUUCCACAAACAAGAUGCAGAAUGGCAUAUACAGAACCCUGCAACGGCCCAGCCUCAUCACAAGAGAGGAACAGACCAUAGAGGGGUGGGGCAGAAAGAGGAAUGAUUUUUUUUUAACUGCGCCUUUUAAACUGCGAAGCAGCUAAGCUCCAUAUAUACAGAAGAGCCCCAUGGAAGUCUGGGUGUAUAUAGGGUUAUGUUUUCCAGGUAUGCUAAGUUUCUAGUGCCCAGAUUAGCCAACUGCUAGCUAGAAUAUUUUUCCCACUGUAAUUGCAUUUAAAAGGGGAAAAUACAAAAGGGGAAAAUAAAUUUGAAGAGUUUCAAAUGUAUGGGAUAACAAAGAGAAAAAAUACAGCUCUAUUAAGACCCAAUGAUAGGAGCUGUCUCCAUUGCACAUUUUUAUUCUUUCUCCGAGGUCACCAAUGUCUCAAAUACCAUGUCAAAGGAAGGAGACGGGUAUAUAGGAAAUGUUUUCUCUCAAGUAUGCUAAGUUCCCAGUGCCCAAAUUAGAUGACUUCUUGCUGGAAUAUUGCUCUCAUUGCAAUUGCAUUUAAGGUCACAGGUCAUAUGUUUUGGACAACUGAUAUCAACUGACUGGCUUCCUGGUGCAACUGAACUCUUCCUCUUUUGGGACUCCACGCAGUUACCAUUGUAUCUCUAGCUUGUGACAACUCUUAAGUAAAAUACUGUGUUCUGGGAACACAAUUUUACCAGGGAUAGGAAGUAACAGUUCAAAGGCCAGGGGAUGGCUUAUUUUCUAACCAAUGAUCUUUAAUGCCCUAUUCACUCAAGAUUCUUUACAAGAGGUAUUCAUGGAGACUUGGAAUUGUAUCAAGACAACUGCUGAGGGACAGAAGAACUCCCCAGUUCUACUUAGAUUCUACCUGGACUACAGUCUCUGGAAAAUUCCCAAUCUAUUCAGAAUCCAGAACAUCUCUCACUAAAACUAAUCAAAAUAACAAACUGAGGAGGAUGAAAUAUUGAUUUUAAUUUCCUUGGACUUUCAAAUCACUGUAGCAAGAAAAUACGAUUUUGGACUUGAAUUCAUCUGGAUUUAUUAAGGCUUUAGAUUUUCAUUUCUCCCUAGACAUCUCAUAGGGAAUUGAUACUCACUUUGGAUGCAUCUUUAUAAUUUGGUAUUUUGGUUUUGAAGUAUGGUAAUGCUGUCCUUUAAUCCCACAGCAGGACAUGGGCUAUGUGCCAUCAUCAUCUGUGAUAGAAAAUAGACCAAGGGCGAAUAGAUGGCCUUGAAAACCAAGUGGCCUAGGAGUUAAUUCUAAGGAACUUGUCUGAUCUAUGUUAGAGCCUUCUCAGAGCAAAAUCUUCAUUGCCCACCUGUGGCUCCAGGAUGAUUUCCCAAGAAGCAAGGGAAGCAGGGAGGUGAGAGCAGGCUGAUCCAACAGGCUGCUGCUUUGCUUCUGAGCACUGGGAGAGCCCCGCUCUAGCUUAAUGAACAAAAUCGUUCAUUAAAACUAAUAGAAUAAAAAUAUGGUAACUAAUGGAAAAGGAAUGACUCUUCCUCACUGUUGAUGUUCCCCCUUAAGUGAGGGACCAUCGAUUAGAAUAACAUACCUGGCUUUGUUCUACCUCUUGACUUUUUUAGCGUGAAUCUCACCCUAGACCUAGCAUCAGAAUCUUCUGGAGCUGGGGUCCAGGCACCAGUAUGUUUUAAAAGCUCCCCGGGUGAUUUUAAUGUGUAGGGAGAGCUAAGAACCAAUGAACUAAAUGAUCUCUAAAGAUACUUUCUAACUCUUUUUUUAAAAAAUGCUGUGAUACCACCAGGAGUUAGAGAAAAUGACUUCAAGGCCCUUGGGGCACCCUUUUCUAGCAGCCCCGAGGCUCCAGUGCAUAGUGUGCAAUCAGCCUUCUAAUAGGAGAAAAACAAUACAAGGCUUCAUGUGUUGGUCCCAAAGCUUGCCUAUUCUGGCUGCCCCACCAUGUCACUGCCAUACAAUCAAUGGAAAAAUUGUUCUUUACCAUAACUUGAGAGGGAGAUAAUCAGGAACAAUCUGGCUACACCAUAGGCUAAUCACAAUGACUGAUAUUUCUAGGGCUGCAUUAAUCAAGCCUUCAAGUAGACAGACUCUUACGGUCAGACCAAUUCUAGAAUGAUUCUGCCUCCACUGUGGGAAUCUUUUAUAAACGGAAAUUCUCCAUUCAGCCUUCCCUCUCUCUCUUAAGUGCAAAAUCCCUCCUAAUGGUAGCAUCUGUUGUCUGCGGCAAACAGAGUUGAUUACAGAUGCUCUGAAAGGAAUUUAAGUAUUUUCUCUUGCUACUCAGGAGGUGAUGGUGUGAUGGGAAACAGUAAUUCUUUUUAGAAAAUAAAAAACCUUUGGCUAAACAGUGACUACAAUAAUAAGAAUGGCUUGGUUUCCUGAAGCCUACUUUGCAAUUGUUGAAGUGAUUUGCCCACUCUAGAGAAGGUAUAUGAAGUGGAAAUGGAAUAUGAAGAGAUAUUCGUACAAGGGAACAAGAUGGAGUCUCACUCUGUUGCCCAGGCUGGGGUGCAGUGGUUUGAUCUUGGCUCACUGCAACUUCUGCCUCCUGGAUUCAAGCAAUUUUCCUGCCUCAGCCUCCCGAGUAGCUGGGAUUACAGGAACCCACCACCACGCCUGGCUAAUUUUUUUUUUUUUUAUUUUCAGUAGGGACAGGGUUUCACCAUGUUGCCCAGGCUGGCUUCAAACUCCUAACCUCAAGUGAUCUGCCUGCCUCAGCCUCCCAAAGUCCAAGGAUUACAGGCAUGAUCCACAGUGCCCACCCAUUAACAAAGUCUUUCUUAACAAAAUCUGCUGGCGGGGAGGGUGAGGGUGCCUAAAAUGAAGAGGUUUGAGGGGUAGGAGGGAUGCAGAUCUGUGAUUAGGCCAGGUUAGGACUAAAGGAGGGGUCCCUGGGCCAGCCCUCAGGACUGGAGAACCCCUGAGAUAGACAGGACAAUGCCCCAUCACCCUUAUGCCAAACACACCUGGAGGAUCUGAGUGUUGUCCUUCUCCUUGACUAUUGAGGAAGGAGAACUAGUCCCCUGAGAAACAGAUAAAAGAGGUCAGUAUCCUGGAUUGCAUCCUUAGACUACCAGUACUAUUUUAUCAUCUACUAAUUAAUUCUCUGGGCUGUAGAAUGUGUCUUUUCCAUUAUCAGCUACAAGUUUAGUUUCAUAUGUGGGUACUUACGAAUAUGUAUAAAAGGGAAUCAGUGUUUAAGUACAUUCUUGUACCUGAUGCUUUAUUUUCAUUUCCUUAUUGAAUCUCCUCUACACCUGCGUGUAGUUGUAUUCUUACCCAUCUAUUGUAUGUGAGAGAAACAAAACUCAAAAAGGCCAAGUAGCACACUUAUGCAAAGGAACACACUUGUGAAAAACUGGUCUGGCAUUCAAAUUUAGGUCAGAUUCCAAAGCCCCUGCUCUUUCUACAACAUCGUGGAGGCUGGUGAGAUGUAGAUUUCCUCACAAGCUGAGGAGAUUGAAUUUGGCAUUGAAUAGCGUCAUCCAAAUUCUUACCUCUGAAAAUAGUUUUGGCAGCUCCUCAAGUAACUGCUUUGUAUUUUGUUGCCUAACAUUCAUUUCUGUUUGAUAACAUUUCCAAUAUUUAAAUACAUUGAAGAUUUUGUUGAUCUGCUGACAUUUAAAUUAGUUUUUGCAUCUUUCCUUCUGACAAUUUUAGGUCAUUGAAUUUCAGAACAGAGUCAUGAUUAUAAAAAAAGAGUUUCCACCAUAUGUAAAAAGACUAUGAUGUUAUACACAGAAAAAAAGGCCAAAGAUGAAAGUUCUGAAACUAUAUACUUCUCAGAGAGGAAUCCAACAAACGCCUUUGCCAAAUCAUGUUGGGAGCUGGUUACAAUGCAGAAUCUUGAACCCCACCCUAGAGAUACAGAUCUGGACAUGGGACCCUAUUACCUACGUUUUCAACACAAAAGUUUAGGAAUCACCACUAUAAACAAUGCACUGUGAAAUAAGUUAUAUUGUAAAGACCCAAACCUUGGAAGUUUUUAUACCCUGAGAGUUCCAAGGAGUGCCACUUCCAGUUCCAGAGGUCUUAGAUUUGAAAUGUACGUAGGCAAAACUGACUGGACUUUUUCUGUGCAAACACACUAUUUCUAUGGGAAAAUAAGAGUUUUGUGCAUGUUAUUGUUGACAUGAAGUGUGGUAAAUAAGAUUAACUCAUCCACAUUUAUCACAAAUCAGCAAACUGGCACAUGUACAAAAACUAAGAAGGGUCCUAGGCCUUAGGCAACUGGCUCACUGUCUUCCUCUCCUUCCUGUUCUCUCUGAAGUACUCUUAUCCCUCUAUCACUGUGAUUAUGUCUGCUUUUCUCCCCCCACUUUUUCCUGUUUCAUAGUGAUUAUACUCAAAACCUCAUAUGCCAACAUAAAAGAAUUUUUGCCUUAUGUAUAUGACUUGUAAAACCACUCAUUUCAGGCGCCUGUCAACUCCAUUCCUGCAUCACCUUCCACCUUUGCUAACCUAUCACUUCAACCUUGCAACAAUGCCAGACUGUAGUUCCCUGACGACCUAAUGCUCACUCACACUGCAUCCUUCCCUUUUGGCAAAAUGACCUUCAACUCAUCACCUUCUUGACCUGACUGAUAUCAACUUAUCUUUCAACAAUUACUUCCUGGAAGCCUUCCCUGAUGCUCUACAGUCCCAUUGUGGGUAAAGCAAGGUGUUCUCAUUUCUGACUGCACAUCAGAGUCAUUUAGGUAACUUUCAAUAUAAAUAUAGCCUCUAAAACUCUCUUAUGGUUACUGUUUGCAAGGUAUAUCUUUCUUCAUACUUCUAUUUUUAACGUAUUUAUGUCUUCGAAUCUAAAGUAUGUCUCUUAAAGACAGGAUAUAGUCAGGUCUUGCUAUUUUUAUAUAAUCUAAUCAUGUUUGCCUUCUGAUUUCAGUGUCUGUUCAAUUUACAUUUAAUGGGAUUAUUGUUAUGGGUGGAUAUAUUUGUUUUUCCAUUUAAUAUGGUGGAUGGAUUUGCUUUUAGAUGGAUUUUUUAAAUUAUAGUGUAAUUAUUGAUAUAGUUUAAUUUGUUUUUAACAUGGUUCAUCAUUUUUGUUCCUGUUUCUUCAUGUACUGCUUUCUUCUGUGGAAAGAUUUUUUAGUAUAUAGUUACAAUUCUUCUGUUAGAUUUUCAUGCAUAAUUUUGAGUUAUUU
rnacentral:lncRNA from 1 species